rnacentral:rRNA from 1 species
AGUGGCGGACGGGUGAGUAACGCGUGAGAAUCUGCCUUGGGGUCGGGGACAACCACUGGAAACGGUGGCUAAUACCGGAUAAGCCGAUUGGUGAAAGAUUUAUUGCCCGAAGAGGAGCUCGCGUCUGAUUAGCUAGUUGGUGAGGUAAGAGCUCACCAAGGCAGCGAUCAGUAGCUGGUCUGAGAGGACGAUCAGCCACACUGGGACUGAGAGACGGCCCAGACUCCUACGGGAGGCAGCAGUGGGGAAUUUUCCGCAAUGGGCGAAAGCCUGACGGAGCAAGACCGCGUGAGGGAGGAAGGCUCUUGGGUUGUAAACCUCUUUUCUCAGGGAAGAAGCUCUGACGGUACCUGAGGAAUCAGCCUCGGCUAACUCCGUGCCAGCAGCCGCGGUAAUACGGAGGAGGCAAGCGUUAUCCGGAAUUAUUGGGCGUAAAGCGUCCGCAGGUGGCGAUUCAAGUCUGCUGUCAAAGCACGGGGCUUAACUCCGUAAAGGCAGUGGAAACUGAAUAGCUAGAGUGCCGUAGGGGUAGAGGGAAUUCCCGGUGUAGCGGUGAAAUGCGUAGAGAUCGGGAAGAACAUCGGUGGCGAAAGCGCUCUACUGGACGGCAACUGACACUCAGGGACGAAAGCUAGGGGAGCGAAUGGGAUUAGAUACCCC